rnacentral:ncRNA from 1 species
UAGUUAGAACAAGGUCAAUCAGGGAAACUGUAAGAAAAAGCUGUUGGCCAGACUGUCCUUUCUGCUAGAAUAGCCUCUACCGAAAAUAGUACUGCUACUACCACCACUUAAAAACACCAAACCAAUAAAACCCAACACUUCAGAGUGCACUCAUUGAGAAGCUUGAUACAUUUUUAUGAAGAAAUCAAAUGGUUCAAAGCUGGCUGGCCAGAAGUGCACUUCAGCCAGGAAUAACAGAUUAGGGCUCUGGCUCUUUUUUUUUGUUUUUUAUGGAAGCAGAGCAAUGAUUAAGAGCAAUGGCUGGAGGAAUUCUUGUUGUGUCACUUGAACUGAAUUUCUUGGACAGUGGUGCAAAAUGAACUAAAGCAAAAGCAUUUGCCAAGAAUGUGUUCAGUAAUCAA